rnacentral:lncRNA from 1 species
AGACACUUUACGGAGCGAAAUAUCUGCACCGCCCCCACCCCCAACUCCUGUUCUACCUCCCUUCCCUGGGCAGGUCUGGGUGAUGGGGCCACCUUGGCGUGGGGAUCGGGCCUGGUACCCUGUACCGGCUAGUGGCGCGGUGUGUCCCUAGGCUAAUUUGGAAAAAGCCGAAACCUGCGGGGCAGCGGCGGCAACCCCUGGGCACAGCGUCCCCUGGCGGCCGCCGGGCUCAGCCAGGUCUGGGAGCCGGGAGGUCGCCGGGAGAGUGGGCCCAAGGCAGGAUCAGCCCAGCCCCUCCAGGUAGCCUCCUCCUCCUCCUGCUCCUCCUGCUCCCCUGCCCCCUUUCUCUCUCUCUUUCUCCUUCUCCUCCCCAACUUCCCUUCUUCCUCUCCCUCCCCUCCUCUCCUCCCUUUUCUUCUAAUUCCUACAGUUCGCCUUUUAAAUUAAGGUACGUCAACAUUUAAAUAGCUUAUAGAUUAACAUAGUUCAAGUAUGUUUUUAAAAAACCUGUUCAAAGGUAUACAGUGAAAAGUCUUCAUCCCAGAAAAACUGUCAGCCAAAUGUUAAAAUUGAGGGGCAUUCUACAAAAUACCCGACUAGUACUCCUCAGAACUGUCAAAGUCAUCAAAACCCAGGAAGAAUCUGAGAAAUUGUCACAGCCAAGAAGAGCCUAAGGAGACAGGACCAUUAAAUGUAAUGUGUCAUGGAUGAGGUCCUGGAGCAGAAAAACGGACACCUGGUGAAAACUAAGGAAAUCUGAGUCAAGAUGGACUUUAGUUAAAGCAUCAACACCAGUUCAUUACUUGUAACAAACAACCCAUACCAACGACCAAUGCUAAUAAUAUGUGAACCUGGGUGCAGGCUUUAUGGAGACUCUUAUUAUCUUUGCAAUUUUUCUGUGACGCUAAAACU